UACGUAGGGGGCAAGCGUUGUCCGGAUUCAUUGGGCGUAAAGAGCGUGUAGGCGGCCAGGCAGGUCCGCUGUGAAAACUCGAGGCUCAACCUCGAGAUGUCGGUGGAAACCGUCUGGCUAGAGUCCGGAAGAGGAGAGUGGAAUUCCCGGUGUAGCGGUGAAAUGCGUAGAUAUCUGGAGGAACACCGGUGGCGAAGGCGGCGUUCUGGACUGCUACUGACACUGAGGAACGAAAGCCAGGGGAGCAAACGGG
rnacentral:rRNA from 1 species